rnacentral:rRNA from 1 species
CUGCAGCCCGAGUGGUGAUCGAUUUUAUUGAGCCUAAAGCGUCCGUAGCCGGACUAGUAAACCCUUGGGUAAAUUGGGCAGCUUAACUGUCCAAAUUCCGAGGGGACUGCUAGUCUUGGGACCGGGAGAGGUCAGAGGUACUCAAGGGGUAGGGGCUAAAUCCUGUAAUCCUUUGGGGACCACCAGUGGCGAAGGCGUCUGACUAGAACGAAUCCGACGGUAAGGGACGAAACCCUGGGGCGCGAACCGGAUUAGAUACCCGAGUAGUCC